rnacentral:rRNA from 1 species
AGGAAAGAGAGUUGUAACAAGGUUUCCGUAGGUGAACCUACGGAAUGAUCAUUG